rnacentral:rRNA from 1 species
UACAGAGGGUGCGAGCGUUAAUCGGAAUUACUGGGCGUAAAGCGCACGUAGUCGGCUUUGCAAGUCGGGUGUGAAAUCCCCGGGCUCAACCUGGGAACUGCAUCCGAGACUGCAUUGCUAGAGUAUGGGAGAGGGAAGCGGAACUUCUGGUGUAGCAGUGAAAUGCGUAGAUAUCAGAAGGAACAUCAGUGGCGAAGGCGGCUUCCUGGACCGACAUUGACGCUGAGGAGCGAAAGCUAGGGGAGCAAACGGG